CUAAUUUGUAAUGGUUUAUCUGUAUUUUUUAUUAAUUGACAUUUUUAUGUUUCUAGUUCUAUAUGUGACAGUUUAAUCAUGCCACAUACAAAAGAAGCUUUGGAACUGUCCGAAUUUCAAAGAGGCUGUAUUGUGGGUCAAUCUGAAGGUGAACAUAGCGUAAAAUCACAGAAAACCUUGGGAUCCCACUUUCUACUGUUAAUAGAAUAACUGUGCAAUUCACCUGAGAGGGGAAGAAGUC